AUGAGCACAUAUACCCCUUUUCUCGCAGCCACAACAACAGCCCCAUCUGUCUAUCCACUGGCUCCUGGAUGUGGAAGCACAACUGACUCCACAGUGACCCUGGGAUGCCUGGUCAAGGGCUAUUUCCCUGAGCCGGCUACCGUAACCUGGAACUCUGGAAGCCUGACCAGCGGCGUGCGCAUCUUCCCAUCAGUACUGGAUUCUGGGCUCUACUCCCUCAGCAGCUCAGUGACUGUGCCCUCCAGCAUGUGGCCCAGCCAGACCAUCACCUGCAAUGUCGCCCACCCGGCCAGCAGCACCAAGGUGGACAAGAAAAUUGGCCCAGAAAUAUCAUCUGUCUUCAUCUUCCCACCAAAGCUCAAGGAUGUACUCACAAUCUCUCUGGAACCCAAGAUCACAUGUGUUGUGGUAGACAUUAGUCAGGAUGAUCCUGCAAUCCAGUUCAGCUGGUUUGUAGAUGGCAAGGAAGUGCACGAUGUUCAGAAACAGCUCCGGGAGCCGCAGUUCAACAGCACCUUCCGAGAAGUCAGUGUCCUCCCCAUCUUACACCAGGACUGGAUAAAUGGCAAGGAGUUCAAAUGCAGGGUCAACAGGGAAGACUUCCCUGCCCCCAUCGAAAAAACCAUCUCCAAAACUAUGGGUGAGAAUUGCAAAGUGGAUGAUGUAGUAGCAACAAUACAUGAACACUUCUACCUUGUCAGUGACCUCUGUGCUGACUAUUUAUUCUCUGUACCCACAGGGCAACUUCGCAUUCCGCAGGUAUACACCAUGCCCCCACCCAAGGAGCAGCUGACCAAGAAUGAAGUCAGUCUCACCUGCAUGAUAACGGAUUUCUACCCUGCAGACAUUGAUGUAGAAUGGAAGAGGAAUGGACAACCAGAGAAGAACUACAAGAACACCCCACCGGUCUUGGACACAAAUGACUCUUUCUUCCUCUACAGCAAGUUCAAUGUGAAAAAGAGUGAUUGGGAGAGUGGAGAUACUUUCGUCUGCUCUGUGGUACAUGAGGCCCUGCACAACCACCACACAGAGAAGAAUCUCUCCUACACUCCUGAGCUGGAACUGGACGACAACUGUGCUGAGGCCCUGGACGGGGAGCUGGACGGGCUCUGGACGACCAUCACCAUCUUCAUCACCCUCUUCCUGCUCAGCGUGUGCUACAGUGCCACUGUCACACUCUUCAAGGUAAAGUGGAUCUUCUCCUCAGUGAUGGGACUGAAGCAGACGCUGGCUCCUGACUACAAGAACAUGAUUGGACAAGGGCCUUAG